rnacentral:rRNA from 1 species
AUUUGGAGAGGAUGCUUCUGGCGCGGCGCCGUCCGAGUUCCUUGGAACAGGACGCCACAGAGGGUGAGAGCCCCGUACGGACGGACGCCUAGCCUCUACGAAGCUCCUUCGACGAGUCGAGUAGUUUGGGAAUGCUGCUCAAAAUGGGAGGUAAAUUUCUUCUAAAGCUAAAUACCGGCCAGAGACCGAUAGCGCACAAGUAGAGUGAUCGAAAGAUGAAAAGCACUUUGAAAAGAGGGUUAAACAGUACGUGAAAUUGUUGAAAGGGAAGCGCCUGUGACCAGACUUGCGCCCCGCGGACCACCCGGCGUUCUCGCCGGUGCACUCCGCUGGGCGCAGGCCAGCAUCGGUUCUCCCAGGGGGACAAAGGCCGCGGGAACGUAGCUCCUUCGGGAGUGUUAUAGCCCGCGGCGGCAUGCCCCUGGGGGGACCGAGGACCGCGCUUCGGCAAGGAUGCUGGCGUAAUGGUCACCAGCGACCCGUCUUGAAACACGGACCAAGGAGUCAAGCAUUGGGGCGAGUGUAUGGGUGCCAAACCCGCACGCGAAAUGAAAGUAAACGCAGGUGAGAGCUUCGGCGCAUCAUCGACCGAUCCUGAUGUCUUCGGAUGGAUUUGAGUAAGAGCCUUACCGCUUGGACCCGAAAGAUGGUGAACUAUGCCUGAAUAGGGUGAAGCCAGAGGAAACUCUGGUGGAGG